AUGAGCAUAUCCUCUUUGCAACUGGAACAACUCUCCCCACCAAUUCCAGUGAAUCAUACACUCACAGCAGUGUGGAUUGCAUCCAAGCCCAAUGAAUAUCUUUUGAAAACAGUGGUUUAUUUUCGCUGUCAAGUACCAAAUACAGAAAAAACAAGGAUACAAGUGCUCCAGAGGAUCCCAAGCUUGGGCUGCUCUGCCAGUAAAUCCCAUGGAAUAGAAUAUAGAUUGAAAAUGGAAUGGGAGAAGCCAUUAAAACAAAAGAUAGAGGGCUAAAUUGAAGCAGUUUUUACUACCUCUCUCUUCUUCGCUUUUAUUUCUAUGUGUCUCAUUCACAUAAUGAGUGUAUUGACACUCAUUAUGCAAAUUAGAUGAUCUUGCCAGGAGGAUGUCUGCUCCUCCAUGAGUCAUUUAAACUAGGUUAUAUAUUCAUCAACAGAACCACUGGCCCUAAUAAUAGGAGUUGAAAUUUUCUCAGGAAAUGCUGAGGAACAAAAGCUCAUCUACUGACAGUUCAGGGCACUGUCCGGAAAGCAUCAUUUUAACUUGCCCAUGUCUAGAAAUUCAAAGAGGUUCUGAAGUCUAGUAGAACUUGAAGAUAACAGGAGCAAUGUAGUUUAAACAGUAGUCCAUGUGUUUAAAAGAGGAGAAGGGAAAAGACAAACAGUGCACAUUGGCAUGGUUUUGUCCAGGGGGCACGCUAGUCAUAUGCUAAUAAGAAAAAUUAAAAUAAUUGCAGUCGUUUUGAAACUGUAGACUUCAAGCUUGCAACGGCAAGAUUCAAAGAAAGGCCAGAUCUCAACCAGCGAGCCAGUCUCUUGCUGACUCUCAGUUUUGUGUUACAGCUAAAUCAGAUUCUUUUGGCUGAUCACUCACAUUCUCUAGCUAUUGGGAACUGCCUCUUUACGAAUAGAAUCAAAUAAGCCCUCUGGUUUGCUAGGGAGCUAGCUGCUGGUAGCGAAACUAGUGGGGAAUGGACACUUUAAUGAUGGUGGCCUAAAGCUUGAACCAAGACCAGAUGGACAUGCUAGAGCCCACUGCAAGGCUUACCCUGGGGCGGUGCUAGCACAUCAUUUUAUUCUGCCAGUCUCGCAUCUAAUCAGGGCGUAAUGGAGCUCUUUGGAGUCAUCAAGGGUCUUACUGCUCCCUGGCCUGUGGGAAGAGGGUGUAGACCACAUGAUAGCCCGUUCUGAACAAUUUGCCACAGUAAAAUCAUUUAAAAUCCAUUUCAGCAUGGAUGCAGUAAUUGAGACAGGCCCAGUGGAUGUAAUGAUGAUCCUUGCAUAUCCUGUGAUUAUGGAUACAUUUCAGCCAGUUCAGCAGAGGAUAUGAGUAGGAGCCUUUGAGCAGUGAAAGCCAUGAUGUUUUUCUGCUUGACACUUGCUCUUCGGAGUUCACAAGAGCGGCCAGGUUCAAGGCAACGUAGCCAGACUGCAGACUGACCCCACUUAUAGAGAACAUAUAAUUUCUUUCUCAUAGCAGCUUCACCAGCUCCCCUUCUGUUUCCAGGCACCAUUAAAAAAGUGCUUCUAGAGCUUGGGUCCAGCCUAUUUGAAAUAACCAUAUUCACCCAUGCAAGCCUGCUUGGACUUUGAGGUCAAUAGGAGAGGGACUUCUCUCAGCCCCACAGUUUUCCAAGGCUUGUUUGGUGAGAAUACAUGUGAUGGCUUUCCCAGUGGCUGCUCCAGAUUUUGGAACUCCCUGCCAAGCAAGGCUUCUCACUGUCCUUCUGCUGGUAGGCUAAGGCUCUUAUAUUUAGGCAGGCCUUUAGUGACUGAUGGCUUACUAAAGGCAAGUGGUCUGGGCGUGGCUGUGUUUCUCUCCAUUUAUUAGAUCUAUGGUUCACGUAUAUUAUGUAAUGGAAUGGUUCAUGCAUAUUAAUGUUGCUUAGAGGCGGAGCCGAGAGAGAUGUUAUAAGAGGCGGAGCCUGAGUCAGUCAGGAGAGAUUGAGUCCAUUAGAGAAAUGUAAGGGUCAGGCAGGAGAGAAAAGCCAGACAGAGUAAUAGAGUGUGUAGUUUGGGAAAUUUAGAUGUGAUUAGGUACUGAAGGUAUUUAUGAAUCUCUGUAAUCAAUAAACCAAAGUUUUAUUUAAAAGAACUUGAACUG
ensembl:lncRNA